AUUGAACGCUGGCGGCAGGCCUAACACAUGCAAGUCGAACGAGUGGCGGACGGGUGAGUAAUGUGUGGGAAACUGCCUUAUGGAGGGGGAUAACUACUGGAAACUGUAGCUUAUACCGCAUACCAUCAGAUGUGCCCAGAUGGGUUGAGCUUGUUGGUGGGGUGACGGCUCACCAAGGCGACGAUCCCUAGCUGGUGGGAGAGGAUGACCAGCCACACUGGAACUGAGACACGGUCCAGAUUCCUACGGGAGGCAGCAGUGGGGAAUAUUGCACAAUGGGCGCAAGCCGGAUGCAGCCAUGCCGCGUGUAUGAAGAAGGCCUUCGGGUUGUAAAGUACUUUCAGCGGGGAGGCGUUACCCGCAGAAGAAGCACCGGCUAACUCCGUGCCAGCCGCCGCGGUAAUAC
rnacentral:rRNA from 1 species